GUGAUUCACAGUGACAGCAUACUGCUGUUAUGGACACCUCGAAGAGAGAGGUCUAAUGCAUUCACACUCUGAUGAGCCAUAAGGGGAUACUGUUGCAGAUGAUGGCACAUCUCCCCAGAAGCCUUUGGCCUGAAUUUAGCGGGAUACGCCAAGUCUCAAGGCCUGUAUCUUCUGUGUUCUCAGUUCUCAAACUGAAGAGUUUGAUCAAACUCUCACUGGAAUCUAAAGCAUAUGGAAUAAUGCCUGAAGAUGGAGCUGUUUACAAACUUCUGCGGGAUAAAAGGGAACCUAUUUGCAACACAGACUUCACAGAAACAAGCAUUGUAGUUACUUUUAUCAGAGUUUGCCCUUCCAGAUUAAUGGUGUUGAACUUCUCAUGCUGACCAGAGGGAGCCCAGGAAGAGAUGAAAAGCACACAAUCUACAGAGCAAUAGAGCCUCUCCCACAUGUUCUUGUACAACUUAUAAAAUAUAGGUAUGAUUACUGCCCUUUAUUCAAAGAAACUUAACAGUUGCCUCAUUUCUUUUGGGAACACCACUCUUCCCAAAAGGCCCUAGGAUAAAGUGGAGUCAUGGCUGUCUACUUAUCUCCAAAAUGGCCUUAAGAGACAAAUAUUUUGUAAUAAAAACCAUCUGAAAUUAGCUAUAAAUAAUAAGAUCCAGCAAAAGCUGUCUAUACUCUCAUGCAUUGGUAUUCUGAUAAUGUAGAAGUAAAUGAGAAAUUCAUAAGUGAUAUAAGUGGGCUAUAGCUCCAGGUAGUCAACUUCCACUUGCAAUGAAACUGCAAAAGGAAAAGAAACUAAUGAUAAGUUAGUGCUGUGCUCCUGGCAGGUACUACAGCUGAGAUAAUGUCAUUAUGGGUGUUCUGUUUCACUUGAGGUCAGCUUUUUUAAUUUAUAGAUGUCUUACAUCAAAAUGAGAAAUAAUGGUUUUGCCACUGGCUUUUGUUUUCAUAGUUAACCACCUCAAGGUACAUUUACCUUCACCUUUCUAUCCAUAUAUAACUCUCUGGAUCCAGAGAGUUUAUUUUUUAUGAUUAUUUUACCUAAUUUAAAAGGUGAUGAACUAUUAGGAAUGUUUUCAAAAAGUGUUGUAAAAGUAGUGCUGUCAGUGCCAUGUUAUUGCAUGCUAAAUUUUAACAUGAUGUCAGUGAUUGCAGAAACAUCUGAAACACAACUGAAGAGGUGGCUUGGGACACUUACUUUCAUUUUACGGACAACACUCAGAAAUCAUCUUUCAGCUUAUUCUACAGUUACUCCCAAGCAGAACAGAAAUUUUUGUACCUAAGCUCCAUGUCUGUAAAAACUGAACAAAAUAGCCAUGAUCCUAAUACUUCUAAAAUGCUUUUGAGACCAAAUGUUGCAUAUGGGAUGAAAAGGAAUGUAACCCUUAUUAUUGCUGUAGAGUCCAGUUUCUUGAUUUUCUGACAGAUUAUUAUAAUCAUUAAUGAUCUAAGUAACUCGUUUUGUUAGAAGUUAUAGAGGAUAACUCCCCAAAAUGAUCAGGUCUUCAUCUCCUUUCUCUAUUUUAUAAAUUCAUUUACUCACUCAUUUGUAUCAGCAUAGAUUUCUGCAAACACAGCUUACAAGAACACUCUAACGGGGCAGAAUUUUCUAUCCUUUUCUCUCAUGGGCCACUGAAGAAACAGCUUUUCAGUCAUAACAGAUUGAAACUGCACGCCUAUGAGCCCAGAAGACCUUUGAAACCAUAUGAAUUAAGAAUCCAAAGCACAACUGAAGAAGAAAUGAACUUAAAUCAAGGCACCUAAAUGACCUGGACGUUUCUAAAACCUUUAUGCAAACCUUUAUACAUAUAUACAACCAGUCAGUUGCUAAGAAUCUCUGCAAGAAUACCAUGCAAUAGAAAGGUUUUUCAUUUUUUUUUUUUUCAUUUUCUUUUUCCCCUCAGUCAAAACCAAAUAAAAAAACCCAUUCACUUAAGAAGCGAUUGUCUGUAGACCUUUGAAGCCAAGGCGGGUGACAGCAAGGGCAAGAGGCUUAUUUCAAGGGUCACAUUUCAUUUGCAUAAGCAAGUAACCAUAGGGCACUGUGGAAUGUCUGUAAAUGGAUUUCAUUACAGAAAUUCAGCUUAAAGGGACUAUAAAUAAUCCUCUGACAAACAUUGUAUAUUGCUUCAAGUUCUUCUGUAAUAAAAAUAUUUUAGUAACACAACAAUCCGUGAAAGCAGGAAAUGAAACAGGAGGAGCUGCUCAUCUUCUCCUUUUCUCUCUCAGGGCAACAUUAUAUUGUAAUAUGUUUUAGAGAAGAAAAAUGUGAUAUUCAUAUUAUUUUAGCAAAGUAAUCCUACAAAAACAGACUUAUAUCAUUCCAUAUGGCUGAGACAGGGUGGCUGAACAAAUACUCAGAUCUUUACUAGCUCUUCUCCCCUGGAGAUCAUCUGUUCAGCAUGGACAGGUGUGCAGGCUGCAUGGUAUUCUGCCCAAAGGAACAUCUCAAAAUACAUAUUGGUGUGUAAAUCUUACUGAAUGUAUUUCAGUGCAGAAGCUAUCUAAAUUAUGUGUUUUACUGGAUUGACAUUUUUUGAUGAUAUGAAGAAAAUAUGAAUGUCUAAAGGCCCCUUUUUGGACAAAGCAUUUAAGCAACUUGCUAACUGAAGUGCACACUUAACUCUUGAUUAUUUCUGCAGGACAUGGCUCUACGGUCAAAAGCUUACCUAAAUGUGGAGGGAUGUUCUCACAUACAGUUAAGUGCAUGCUGGAUGUUUUCACAUGUCCCUUCCCUGCACAGUCAAGAGUUCAUAGCUAGAUGGAUCUAGGUGGACAUCAGACCCCCUGUUCAACAUCAUGUGCUGAUGGUCUGAGAGGCCCAGGAAGUCACUGGAGCUUUUGCAUUUUUCCUGUGUGUAGAAACAAAUCCUUAGCAUCCCCUUAAAAAUACGUGGCUUGCCAGCUUUGAAGGGAAACUUUGGGUUAUCAUCUCAUCACUACUACAUCUCUCUUGGAAUACUACCUGGAAGGACAUAGACAGUGGCCAAAGCUCUGUUCUGUGCAGACAGUCACUUCUGGGAGAGAGUUUUGGCCAUGCCCCCAGUCUAUUACAAAAGGUCUCAACAAGCAGUCUCUUUCUACCAUUUCUAAUAAUAUACUUGCAAGGAAAAGAAAAAUAUAGGAUACUUCUUCUAAAGGAAAGAAAAAGUGGGCCCUCAAAGCAGUAAUUUAGUCAAUUAAUUUUCAUUUAUGCUAGUUUUUCUUUCCUCCCGUUUACCUUUCUAAUAACUACAAUUAUUCUCACACUGGCAUUACUGUUAUCUCUGGAAUAGAUUUGCUCACACUGAAAAAAUCCAAUUGAGUCAGAGCAUGUAACGAGAAAAUGUAAUCCAUCAUUAUUAAAAAAGACAGCUUACCUUUAUCUGGGUGUUAAAUAGUACAAAUCCAUGAGAGUCAGUGAAUGUUUUGAAGUAAAAACGAAGGGCAUUAUGAAGGCUGAAGUGGAUUUGUCACCGAAUUAUAUGUAUUACCUCAGAAAUGGCCUGCUAUAGGGUUGUAGAAAUAACAUGUUUAGGGGUGGAAAAGAGAAAAUAAUGGUAUUUACUUGUUUUCUAUACUUCCAGAGAAACUAAAUGAGCUCUUAAACAUCAGGUUAUUUUGUGGAAAAUUGCAAAACGAGAAGAAAGGUUGUUCCUGAAAAUAAAUCAUAUUUGUUUCACUCUUCAUACCUGAAUGGUGUUUCUGACAAUAUGCACGUCAG
ensembl:lncRNA